GCGUUGACUGAGUCUCACUUCACGUGGUGGUUAACGUGAAGUGCACUCAAAAAGCCCACCUCAGGAGAUACCCUACGCGCCUCUACGACCGAGGUGAGAAUAUAAAGGAGUUUACUGUGCCCCUCUAAUAGGCUAGUCCACGAAACCCCGCCACUGCAGUAGCUAAUCUUUAUUUUAUCUACCACCUGAUUUAUAAAAUCCUUAUCUGCAUGACAUCGUAAUUUAUCGCAAUCUAGGCUCCCAAGACUGAAUACAUAGUAUAUAUAAUUUUGAUACAAAUACCGACUUUGCCAUUCAUGCUCACAUAUUGUUAUAAGCCAUAUAAUUUAAAACACAAUUUAUAACACAAGCAGGCAGUCUCCAAUUACUCUAUUUUCAAAACCAAUAUUCAAUUUUCCAGAAAAUUAAUAAAAUCAUUUUAUAAAAUCACAAUUUCUGCUAAAACAUAGCAAUUUACCAUUUAAACCCAUUUUCUAUAAAAUCACAUAAUUGUAUAAAACUACUCUAGAUAAUUAAGAUGAUAAUAAAUUCACUCACAAUAUUAGGAGUAGAAAUACUCCUAUUUUCAGUCUGCGGGUACAGUCCUUUACCCGUAUCCAAUGGCUCACCACCUAGCCAUAAUCCAUGACACAUAUUCCAAUUAAAUUGUGUCUAACAGUCAUAAGCUAUUUCAGGCUCGAUAUAUAUGCAUGAUAUGAAAUGAAAAAUGCACGGGUAGCCAUCUAGACCCGGUAUUGGCCUAAGUCGAUUUUUCAUCCGAUAAAUUGGCCAAUGCGUCCAAUUUCACUCCAACUUGCUCCAUUUCUUUUCCAAUCCCUCAAUUCACCAAGCACAACUAAUUAACACACAAUUAGGUGAAAUUUAUCUUCACUUUUCUUCUUGGAACUUUCGGCCAACAAUGGUACACUAACUCCGUGAUUUUUCCUACUUAAUUUUCUCUCCAUAAUUCAUUAAUUCCUACACCAAAAACUAUUAUUUCUUAAUCAAAUCACCUAGAAUAACAUCCCAUUCUUCCUCAUUAUUCACUUAGAGAAUUCGGCUAUUGAUGGGCACCAAACCUUUGGUGGUUUUCUUCACUUGUUUUCAUGCUACACAUCAUUAAUCACCUAAAAACACUAACAUACCUAAAAAUCAAACCAAUCCAAGAUCAUUCUCUCUCCAUACCCAUUUUGACCAGCCAUGAAUUCAUCAUGAAAACAUGUAAUUUAACCAUGGAAAUUAAGGGACAAUGCAUGGGUAAGGUAAAUCACUAACAAAAUCAAAGAAAUUUUACCUUUGCUUGAUCAAAUCCUUGAAUUCCAACACUUUCUCUUUGAUUUUUCCCACCUAGGGUUUGUUCUUCCUUGGUUUCUCUUA
rnacentral:lncRNA from 1 species